UACCGCGUGUGUGAAGAAGCCUGAGGUUGUAAAGCACUUUCAAUAGGAAGGAAUACCUAUCGGUUAAUACCCGGUAACUGACAUUACCUAUACAAGAAGCACCGGCUAACUCCGUGCCAGCAGCCGCGGUAAUGCGGAGGGUGCAAGCGUAAUCGGAAUUACUGGGCGUAAAGCGUGCGUAGGCGGUUAUUUAAGUCAGAUGUGAAAGCCCUGGGCUUAACCUGGGAACUGCAUUUGAUACUGGAUGACUAGAGUUGAGUAGAGGAGAGUGGAAUUUCAGGUGUAGCGGUGAAAUGCGUAGAGAUCUGAAGGAACACCAGUGGCGAAGGCGGCUCUCUGGACUCAAACUGACGCUGAGGUACGAAAGCGUGGGUAGCAAACAGGAUUAGAUACCCUGGUAGUCCACGCCGUAAACGAUGUCAACUAACCGUUGGGUUCUUUAAGAACUUAGUGGUGGAGCUAACGUAUUAAGUUGACCGCCUGGGGAGUACGGCCGCAAGGCUAAAACUCAAAUGAAUUGACGGGGGCCCGCACAAGCGGUGGAGCAUG
rnacentral:rRNA from 1 species